rnacentral:rRNA from 1 species
AUUGAACGCUGGCGGCAGGCUUAACACAUGCAAGUCGAGCGAGCGGCGGACGGGUGAGUACUGUCUGGGAAACUGCCUGAUGGAGGGGGAUCACUUCUGGAAACGGUAGCUAAUACCGCAUACCAUCAGAUGUGCCCAGAUGGGAUUAGCUAGUAGGGGGGGUAAUGGCUCACCUGGGCGACGAUCCCUAGCUGGUCUGCGAGGAUGACCAGCCACACUGGAACUGAGACACGGUACAGACUCCUACGGGAGGCAGCAGUGGGGAAUAUUGAACAAUGGGCGCAAGCCUGAUGCAGCCAUGCCGAGUGUGUGAAGAAGGCAUUCGGGUUGUAAAGCACUGUCAGCGAGGAGGCGUUACUAGCAGAAGAAGCACCGGCUAACUCCGUGCCAGCAGCCGCGGUAAUUC